UAGGUAACCUGCCCCUGUGCGGGGGAUAACAGGAGGAAACUCCUGCUAAUACCGCAUAGCCAUGAGCACCGCAUGGAGCUCAUGCCAAAUAUCCUUUAUGGGAUAGCGCAGGGAUGGACCUAUGGCGCAUUAGCUUGUUGGCGGGGCAACGGCCCACCAAGGCAACGAUGCGUAGCCGGCCUGAGAGGGCGGACGGCCACAUUGGGACUGAAACACGGCCCAAACUCCUACGGGAGGCAGCAGUAGGGAAUUUUCGGCAAUGGGGGAAACCCUGACCGAGCAACGCCGCGUGAGCGAAAAAGGCCUUCGGGUCGUAAAGCUCUGUUGUAAAGGAAGAACGUCGCAUGCAGGAAAUGGUGUGCGAGUGACGGUACUUUACCAGAAAGCCACGGCUAACUACGUGCCAGCAGCCGCGGUAAUACGUAGGUGGCGAGCGUUAUCCGGAAUCAUUGGGCGUAAAGAGGGAGCAGGCGGCCGCAAGGGUCUGUGGUGAAAGACCGAAGCUAAACUUCGGUGAGCCAUGGAAACCGGGCGGCUAGAGUGCGGAAGAGGAUCGUGGAAUUCCAUGUGUAGCGGUGAAAUGCGUAGAUAUAUGGAGGAACACCAGUGGCGAAGGCGACGGUCUGGGCCGCAACUGACGCUCAUUCCCGAAAGCGUGGGGAGCAAA
rnacentral:rRNA from 1 species